UACGGAGGAUCCAAGCGUUAUCCGGAUUUAUUGGGUUUAAAGGGUGCGUAGGCGGCCUGUUAAGUCAGGGGUGAAAGACGGUAGCUCAACUAUCGCAGUGCCCUUGAUACUGAUGGGCUUGAAUUGACUAGAGGUAGGCGGAAUGUGACAAGUAGCGGUGAAUGCAUAGAUAUGUCACAGAACACCGAUUGCGAAGGCAGCUUACUAUGGUCUUAUUGACGCUGAGGCACGAAAGCGUGGGGAUCAAACAGG
rnacentral:rRNA from 1 species